rnacentral:rRNA from 1 species
GAUGAACGCUGGCGGCGUGCCUAAUACAUGCAAGUCGAGCGAACAGACGAGGAGCUUGCUCCUUUGACGUUAGCGGCGGACGGGUGAGUAACACGUGGAUAACCUACCUAUAAGACUGGGAUAGCUUCGGGAAACCGGAGCUAAUACCGGAUAACAUGUUGAACCGCAUGGUUCAACAGUGAAAGACGGUCUUGCUGUCACUUAUAGAUGGAUCCGCGCCGCAUUAGCUAGUUGGUAAGGUAACGGCUUACCAAGGCAACGAUGCGUAGCCGACCUGAGAGGGUGAUCGGCCACACUGGAACUGAGACACGGUCCAGGCUCCUACGGGAGGCAGCAGUAGGGAAUCUUCCGCAAUGGGCGAAAGCCUGACGGAGCAACGCAGCGUGAGUGAAGAAGGUCUUCGGAUCGUAAAACUCUGUUAUUAGGGAAGAACAAAUGUGUAAGUAACUAUGCACGUCUUGACGGUACCUAAUCAGAAAGCCACGGCUAACUACGUG